UUUCUGAGCAUUUGAUUAUGAAUGGUAUAGAUCAGACAUACACAACUUGGUUUUUUCAUGGAGAACAACUUCCUAAUAUGGAGCUAUUGCCCAGAUAUGAAAUUUAUGACCUUUAGUUACUUGGUUAAUUAAAAAGAACUACGUAGUGGCUUGAUCCCAAUCUGGCUUUUUGGGUACGUAGGCAGCCGUUUGUAAUGUACUAGAAUAUCGGUGCAGCCACAAAUCUUUUUUUCUCCUUUGAAUUGUAACAGACUGUAUCGGUUGCAUUUUUCUCUGUCAUACAGGUUGUGGCUAUCAAAGAUAUAAUAUCACCUCCUUAUAGGGAAACAUUUAAUGAUGUGUACAGGUAAAUUCAUUUUUUCUUAUUUCUUA